AAGCUUGCUUUUCUUGAGGUUAGCGGCGGACGGGUGAGUAACACGUGGGCAACCUACCUGUAAGACUGGGAUAACUUACGGAAACGUGAGCUAAUACCGGAUAGUUUCACUUCUCGCAUGAGAAGUGAAGGAAAGAUGGCUUUUAGCUAUCACUUACAGAUGGGCCCGCGGCGCAUUAGCUAGUUGGUGGGGUAAAGGCCUACCAAGGCAACGAUGCGUAGCCGACCUGAGAGGGUGAUCGGCCACACUGGGACUGAGACACGGCCCAGACUCCUACGGGAGGCAGCAGUAGGGAAUCUUCCGCAAUGGACGAAAGUCUGACGGAGCAACGCCGCGUGAGCGAAGAAGGUCUUCGGAUCGUAAAGCUCUGUUGUUAGGGAAGAACAAGUACCGGAGUAACUGACGGUACCUUGACGGUACCUAACCAGAAAGCCACGGCUAACUACGUGCCAGCAGCCGCGGUAAUACGUAGGUGGCAAGCGUUGUCCGGAAUCAUUGGGCGUAAAGCGCGCGCAGGCGGUCCUUUAAGUCUGAUGUGAAAUCUUGCGGCUCAACCGUAAGCGGUCAUUGGAAACUGGGGGACUUGAGUGCAGGAGAGGAAAGCGGAAUUCCAUGUGUAGCGGUGAAAUGCGUAGAGAUAUGGAGGAACACCAGUGGCGAAGGCGGCUUUCUGGCCUGUAACUGACGCUGAGGCGCGAAAGCGUGGG
rnacentral:rRNA from 2 species